rnacentral:rRNA from 1 species
UACGUAGGGUGCAAGCGUUAAUCGGAAUUACUGGGCGUAAAGCGUGCGCAGGCGGUUUUGUAAGACAGACGUGAAAUCCCCGGGCUCAACCUGGGAACUGCAUUAGUGACUGUAUAGCUGGAGUGCGGCAGAGGGGGAUGGAAUUCCGCGUGUAGCAGUGAAAUGCGUAGAGAUGUGGAGGAAUACCGAUGGCGAAGGCAGCCCCCUGGGUUAGUACUGACGCUCAUGCACGAAAGCGUGGGGAGCAAACAGG